GGGACCGUGGUGUAGGGGUAAGCGUGGUUGUCUUUCACCCAGUCGGCUUGGGUUCGAUCCCAGACGUUCUCG
rfam:Culex pipiens quinquefasciatus supercont3.845 genomic scaffold, whole genome shotgun sequence.